AUUUUUCUUGGAAAGACAUUUUUUAUGGUGAAAGAUUAUAGGUCAUUUUGUAUGUGCCCUAGUUAGGAGGUCAACCUCCAAGAACCAUAACUUGCUCAAUCUGUAUGAUAUGAAUACCAUACAAGUUUCAUGAUUAAACUCAAGAUCUCUUAUUCAACUUUUAUUCUUUGAGAAAUGUUAAAUACAACUUGCAAGAGCAUGUGCCAAGAGGAAACAUUCUAGGUCAUUUUGGGUCAUCAUCAUUGAACA
rnacentral:lncRNA from 1 species